rnacentral:rRNA from 1 species
CACGUAGGGCGCAAGCGUUGUCCGGAAUUAUUGGGCGUAAAGAGCUCGUAGGCGGUCUGUUGCGUCCGCUGUGAAAACUCGGGGCUUAACCCCGAGCCUGCAGUGGAUACGGGCAGACUAGAGGUAGGUAGGGGAGAAUGGAAUUCCCGGUGUAGCGGUGAAAUGCGUAGAUAUCAGGAGGAACACCUGUGGUGUAGACAGCUUACUGGACCGGUAUUGACGCUGAGGCGCGAAAGCUAGGGGAGCAAACGGG